rnacentral:rRNA from 1 species
UGCAAGUCGAACGGUGAAGCCAAGCUUGCUUGGUGGAUCAGUGGCGAACGGGUGAGUAACACGUGAGCAACCUGCCCUGGACUCUGGGAUAAGCGCUGGAAACGGCGUCUAAUACUGGAUAUGAGACGUGAUCGCAUGGUCGUGUUUGGAAAGAUUUUUCGGUCUGGGAUGGGCUCGCGGCCUAUCAGCUUGUUGGUGAGGUAAUGGCUCACCAAGGCGUCGACGGGUAGCCGGCCUGAGAGGGUGACCGGCCACACUGGGACUGAGACACGGCCCAGACUCCUACGGGAGGCAGCAGUGGGGAAUAUUGCACAAUGGGCGAAAGCCUGAUGCAGCAACGCCGCGUGAGGGAUGACGGCCUUCGGGUUGUAAACCUCUUUUAGCAGGGAAGAAGCGAAAGUGACGGUACCUGCAGAAAAAGCGCCGGCUAACUACGUGCCAGCAGCCGCGGUAAUACGUAGGGCGCAAGCGUUAUCCGGAAUUAUUGGGCGUAAAGAGCUCGUAGGCGGUUUGUCGCGUCUGCUGUGAAAUCCCGAGGCUCAACCUCGGGCCUGCAGUGGGUACGGGCAGACUAGAGUGCGGUAGGGGAGAUUGGAAUUCCUGGUGUAGCGGUGGAAUGCGCAGAUAUCAGGAGGAACACCGAUGGCGAAGGCAGAUCUCUGGGCCGUAACUGACGCUGAGGAGCGAAAGGGUGGGGAGCAAACAGGCUUAGAUACCCUGGUAGUCCACCCCGUAAACGUUGGGAACUAG